rnacentral:lncRNA from 1 species
GACUGUUGAACCACUCACAAUUUUUUAGUAGCCAGAAAAUAAAUAAAUAAACAAUGAAAUAAAUUUUGUUUUGUAUAAUGACUUACUCCUUGUUUAGUUAACCAAGAGAAAUUAGUUAUCUGAUUCAUGCAUAUUUUCAUAAGUAGACAGGUAAUAGUGAAUCCUUAUACAAUUUUUCCAAAAUUUUAAAAUCAAAUUGCUAUAAAUAUAGAUUUUUAUAUUAAGUCUUUAGGUUACAUUUUAGAUUACUGUAAAGUUUUAUUAAAAUUUAUUCAGAAAUAUCAAAAUCAUUUCACUGCCCAAGUUUGUAAAUUGAAUUAUGAUAUAUUGAAUUGGGAUUUUAAUUUGAUGAAGUGUACUUAGUAUAGAGUAUAUGUACUACUUUUAAUUGAGAUUAAUAAUUUCACAAAUGAAGAGACAAUUGACUGUAUAAAAAUUGACUACAUUUUCAAAAUUUAAUUGUGGGCAAGGAAG